CAGGCUGGGAAAGAAGAGAGAUUCUUCUUCUUCUUUCAGAUUGGGAGGCAACAGAUGCUAAGACCACCCAUGAUACAGUAGCUGAAGGUUCUGUGGAGAUAACAUUACCAUGUAUUUUUGAGAAAAAAAUGGAAGUUUCCAGCCCUCCUGCUUGCAGAGAGAAAUCUGAAACCAUGAGCUGAGCACAGAAAUGAGAAAG